GAAAAUGCAAAUAAUGAAAAAAUACAGCCAUAUCUUUCUUUCGUUUCUUCAUCACACAACAUUCUGUUACUCUCUCCGCUCUCUUUCUCUCGAUCUCUACCAAUUCUCGCAUAAUGUUACAGAAAAUCAAGAAAAAAUUAUCUCUUAAUUUCUUCAUUGUGUUUGCACCAAAAUCCCUCUUAUAUUACCUCUUUUGUUUUCCCCAAAAGUAUUCGCCUAUUUCACCCAAUUUCCCCAAGCCCUACUUCCUAUCCCUAUUCAAAAAAAUUCGAAUUCUAUAAGGGAGAUUCGGAAGAUUUGAUUACAGGAAAAGAAUUGGGGAUUUGAAAAGAUAAUUUCAGAUUUGGGUUUUAAGGAAAAACAAUGGUUUGGAGACCUUCGAGAAUGAAUCGACGGGCAUACAGAGCGGUGCUGAGAGCAACACGUCAGACUUUUGCCGGCGACACCAUUAUGCUCCGUGAGUCCGCCGCCAAAGCCCGGAAGAAAUUCGAGGAGAACUGUCUCGUGACCUCCCCUGCCGAUCUCAACCGCCAUCUCGAGGAGGCGAAUGAGGCCACCCGCUUCAUCUCAACCAUGAUCGUUCAGGCCAAGCUCAACGAUCGCGGAGGUUAUGGUGUUUGUCAAAAGUUCUAUUGGGCAAGACACUACUUAUCAUGGCUUAUUAUCUUAAACAAUGAACAAAAAAUUGCACGCCGAAAUUUGGUAUGAAAUUCAGCCUGCUCGCCGGAAAGGGUAAUAAAAUCUGCUACGCAUCUGUUUUCGGAGCCAAAAUCGAAGGGUUUGGAGUGUGAAUUUGGGAAUCAUUCCUUCUCAAAACUCGUAGAGGACCUCGAAAACUGUGCGUCAUUCGUGGUUGUGUACCUAAGAAAAUUCGGUCUAUGAUGUUGCUUUUGGUGCUAACUCGAGCUAUGUUGGCGAAAUUCUGAGAAAUAGUAAACCAUCUGCCGCACCUGUUUUCGGAGUCGAAAUCAAAGGGUUUGGAGUGAGAUUUUCGAAUCAGCCUCUUCACAAAACUCGUCGAGGACCUUGAUAAUUAUAUGUAAGUGUUAAAUUGCUUCUAAUUCGAGCAAGUUUUAUAGCCUUUUAGAUAUGAGAAUUUGACGGCAGUGAGUCUGCCAAAAACAGGGCAGUUUUGAUGAAUCAUAUUCUUUGGGUUUUAUUACCGUCUUAGGAUAAUAAUUUGGGAUAUAUUUAUUAAGUAAACUUUUAGAUGAAGUUUUCAGCUUUGAUUUGGUAUAUUGUUUGGACAAUUUGGAUAACUUUACAAAUAGUUAUGAAUUUUACACUAAAUUGUACCAGAAAAGAGAAUUUAUCCGAAAUUCUGGCAGUUUUCUGUAAUCAUCUUUUGGGCCUGUUUUGAAUAUGCUGGGAUCAUAAUUUGUGAUCAGAGUCUUCAGUGAACAUGUAGAUGCAGUUGUUAGCUUUCAUUUGGCAUAUUACGUUCCCAAUUUGGAUAAUCGUACCAAUUGUUAUGAUUUUUCAAAGAAAUUGUGGAAACAAAUGUUUUAAACCUUUGUUUCGAGAACUUGUCAAACAAACACGAGUCAACUCCGUACCAUGUGAAUUGGUGCCUGGAGUGUGUUGUAUUUGGUAAAUAGAACGCCAUAGAAAUUGUGUAUUAUGUUCGAUUGUCAAUUAUGGCAUAAGAUUUAAGUUAGGAUGUUUAUAUGAAAUAGAACCGAAUAGUAAACGAUUAUGUUAACAUUCGAUAACUUAUUUAAUUCUAAUAUUUGAUAGGUGUUGAGUAUAUUUACAGUGGUUCAUUGAACGCAAAUCGUUCUUUUCUCGACUCUUGGACCAUUUAGGAUUAUUGUAUUUCGAUAGUGAGCGUCACAAUUUUAUUCUUUGGUACCAUAUAUUUUGUUCUCUCUUUUGUUACUACAAGAAGCUGGCUUUUUGUUUGACAUGUAUAAAUUUAAACAAUACUCUUAUUUUAGAUGGAGCUGAUACAGAAAAUAAUAUUAGAUUAUCGGGUGUUGCUCACGUUUAUACGAGAUUUAUUUAUCGUGGAUCCAAGUUGGACUGUUUGAUGAAGUGAAAGAACGUUAUCGUGGAAGUCAUAUUUGUUGUCGCUUAACAAUUUAUGAAAUGGAGUUUAUAAUGAAAUAAUUAUAGUAAUAUUUCUUAUUAUUUGGAAUGAUUGAUUUAUUAUUGUAUUUAGUA